rnacentral:rRNA from 1 species
CCCGCUGAACUUAAGCAUAUCAAUAAGCGGAGGAAAAGAAACUAACAAGGAUUCCCCUAGUAACGGCGAGUGAAGAGGGAUAAGCUCAAAAUUAGAAUCUGGUAGUCUAUCUGGCUAUCCGAAUUGUAGUCUAUAGAGGUGUUUUCUGCGCUGGACUGUGUACAAGUCUCCUGGAUAUGGAACAUCAUAGAGGGUGAAAAUCCCGUACUCGCACACAGACCCCCCAGUGCUAUGUGAUUACACUCUCAACGAGUCGAGUUGUUUGGGAUUGCAGCUCAUAGCGGGAGGUAAAUUCCUUCUAAAGCUAAAUAUAGGCGAGAGACCGAUAGCGAACCAGUACCGUAAGGGAAAGAUGAAAAGCACUUUGGAAAGAGAGUCAAACAGUACGUGAAAUUGUUAAAAGGGAAACGAUUGAAGUCAGUCACGUCUAGUCUGGAAUCAGCCCUUACUUCGGUUCGGCGCAUGUUCCUUAUAGACGGGUCAGUGUCCAUGUUAGACUGUCGGAAAAAAUCUUUAGGGAAGGUGGCUCUUCGGAGUGUUAUAGCCCUAAUCUUAUAUACGGUGGUUAAUAUGGAGUGUAACAGCACACUUCGGUGGUGCUUGUACUGGCAUAAUGGCUUUAAACGACCCGUCUUGAAACACGG